rnacentral:rRNA from 1 species
AGCGAACGCUGGCGGCAGGCCUAACACAUGCAAGUCGAACGAACCUUUCGGGGUUAGUGGCGGACGGGUGAGUAACACGUGGGAACGUGCCUUUAGGUUCGGAAUAACUCAGGGAAACUUGUGCUAAUACCGAAUGUGCCCUUCGGGGGAAAGAUUUAUCGCCUUUAGAGCGGCCCGCGUCUGAUUAGCUAGUUGGUUGAGGUAAUGGCUCACCAAGGCUACGAUCAGUAGCUGGUCUGAGAGGAUGAUCCGCCACAUUGGGACUGAGACACGGCCCAAACUCCUACGGGAGGCAGCAGUGGGGAAUCUUGCGCAAUGGGCGAAAGCCUGACGCAGCCAUGCCGCGUGAAUGAUGAAGGUCUUAGGAUUGUAAAAUUCUUUCACCGGGGACGAUAAUGACGGUACCCGGAGAAGAAGCCCCGGCUAACUUCGUG